UAGGUAGGUGGCCUUUAUUGCGAGGCUGAGUAUGAUGGGCUCCAUCCAGCACGAACACAAAGCCCUGAACAGACUCUUCCCUUUGCAUUCACACCAGGGCAGGGAUUCAAAUGUCUUCAGAGAUUUCUGAGACCACCAGUGAUGGGAGACCUAAGGAGGAGGGCAGGGGGAGCAGCACUGCUCUGGAGCUCUGACCCAGGAAGCCCCACCACACCCUGACCUUCCUUGGCUCCAUGACCUCAUCCUGCAGGAAUGCGUUCUGCCAUGGAGGAGAGCAGCCGUAAGCAGAGCUCAUCAACUGCUCGCUCUCCAGGGGGCCAUAACCACAUUGUCACUGUUUCUACACUGUCUGGAAGAAGAAUGGGCAUUGUUACCUCAAUGUGGACCACCAGGGGCUUGCAAGAAGAGGCUGAAGAUGACAGGCAGAGACAGCUCUACCACCAUCUCCCGCCACUUACCAGG
rnacentral:sRNA from 1 species